rnacentral:rRNA from 1 species
UACGUAGGGUGCGAGCGUUGUCCGGAAUUAUUGGGCGUAAAGGGCUCGUAGGCGGUUUGUCGCGUCGGGAGUGAAAACACCGGGCUUAACUCGGUGCUUGCUUUCGAUACGGGCAGACUUGAGGUAUGCAGGGGAGAACGGAAUUCCUGGUGUAGCGGUGAAAUGCGCAGAUAUCAGGAGGAACACCGGUGGCGAAGGCGGUUCUCUGGGCAUUACCUGACGCUGAGGAGCGAAAGUGUGGGGAGCGAACAGG